rnacentral:rRNA from 1 species
CCCUUUGGGUGUGACUGCGUACCUUUUGUAUAAUGGGUCAGCGACUUAUAUUCUGUAGCAAGGUUAACCGAAUAGGGGAGCCGGAGGGAAACCGAGUCUUAACCGGGCGUUAAGUUGCAGGGUAUAGACCCGAAACCCGGUGAUCUAGCCAUGGGCAGGUUGAAGGUUGGGUAACACUAACUGGAGGACCGAACCGACUAAUGUUGAAAAAUUAGCGGAUGACCUGUGGCUGGGGGUGAAAGGCCAAUCAAACCGGGAGAUAGCUGGUUCUCCCCGAAAGCUAUUUAGGUAGCGCCUCGUGAAUUCAUCUCCGGGGGUAGAGCACUGUUUCGGCUAGGGGGCCAUCCCGGCUUACCAACCCGAUGCAAACUGCGAAUACCGGAGAAUGUUAUCACGGGAGACACACGGCGGGUGCUAACGUCCGUCGUGAAGAGGGAAACAACCCAGACCGCCAGCUAAGGUCCCAAAGUCAUGGUUAAGUGGGAAACGAUGUGGGAAGGCCCAGACAGCCAGGAUGUUGGCUUAGAAGCAGCCAUCAUUUAAAGAAAGCGUAAUAGCUCACUGGUCGAGUCGGCCUGCGCGGAAGAUGUAACGGGGCUAAACCAUGCACCGAAGCUGCGGCAGCG